GCCCUCUUAGCACAGUGGUAGUGCGUUGCACUUGUAUGUGAUCAUUUAUGAUUCCUCAUCAAUGCAAAGGUCGGUUGUUCAAUCCAGCCAGGGGGCA
rfam:Moniliophthora roreri MCA 2997 sctg_0042_0005, whole genome shotgun sequence.